GGCCGCGGUAUUUUGACCGUGCGAAGGUAGCAUAAUUAUUAGUUUUUUAAUUGAAAGCUGGAAUGAAGGGUUGAACAAAAAAUAAACUGUCUUUAUUUAAUGAAUUGAAUUUAAUUUUUAAGUGAUAAAGCUUAGAUUUAAUGAGGGGACGAUAAGACCCUAUAAAGCUUUACAUUUUUAUGAUAAAUAUUUGAUUAUAUUAUAUAAUUUUAUUUUAAAGUUGUUUUGUUGGGGUGACAUAAAUAUAAAUAGUAACUGUUUAUUAUAUAUUUCUAUAAUAUUAGGAGUUGUUAAUAGAUCUUUUAGUAAGAAUUAAAAAAUUAAGUUACUUUAGGGAUAACAGUGUAAUUUUUCUUGAGAGUUCAUAUCGACAGGAAGACUUGCUACCUCGAUGUUGAAUUAAGGUAUCCUAGUUGGUGUAGUUGCUAUAAAUAGGAGGUCUGUUCGACCUUUAAAUCCUUACAUGAUUUGAGUUCAAA
rnacentral:rRNA from 1 species